UUCCCUAUUCAAAUAUUAUAAACAUAAAACAUAUUUUUCCAAACACAAUUGGAGAUGGUUGAAUUAGCAGUCCUGAAAUGCUCUGUAAAUGGUUUGUUUGGCUUUUGCUUGUUACCUUGAAUCCACUCUCUGUGUGCAUGUAUGUCGAAAGUUUCUGAGGGAUGGCCCUGGGACAGUGCUGUGUGCCAGGGGGAUAAAUGCAGCUUAUGAAACAAGAUUUUUGUUUCUGGGUCUUGGUAAGACCUACAACAUGUUGGAAGUGAAGGACUAUAUGCUGUCUCUUGUCUCAACGACAUAGGAGGACAGACUAGUGAGUCAGAGGGCUAGAGGGUCAAGACAUUGGUCAUCCCUUCUCUACUGCUCUGACACUAUGCCUUGACAUGUAGAUUGCUAUUCUUAGGGACUUCCUUCCUUCCAGCCACUUCCUACUUCCUUUCCUUCUCUUUCCUUCCUUCUCCCUUGCAACAUGCAAUCUCCUCUCUCCCUGCACCAUGUGUGCAGGGAUGCAGAAUCCAUCUGCAUCUAGCUAGUUGGCUAGAUUAGAGAUCCCAUCUCUUCACUUUACUAUCUAGAAUGGAGUUCUAUAAUAAAUACUCCUUAUAUUGAUUUGAAAUUAUGAACUGGCUCCAAGUUACUUUACUCUCAGCAUACAUGCAUGCCUAACCAAAUUCCGCUGUAUUGUGCCUCUGUGCACCCUGCUAUAAUGAAAAAGGGUUUCUCUUACCAGAGAGAAUUCCCAAUAUGUGUGCUUCCUUGACACUCUUCAGCGUUAAAAAAUUCACAUGCUGUGGUGCCACAAUUUCUAGUAGAAUUGGGGAGAAUAGGCACAGCCUCUUCCAGUGUGGAGUGGAGGCAGGGAUUGAAUGAGUUUCACCUAGGAAUGCUAAUAUAAUGCAGAAACUUUGUGUGCCCACUGCCCAUAUGAAUAUCAUGUGUGGAAUCUGUCCUAUGGAUUUUCCAGAUGUUUCAGCUUUUCUUCUUAUACUCCAAAUGGACUGAAACCUCAGUAUGCAGCCAUUUUAGACAUAAUAGACUGCCAUUUUGGAUCAUCCUUUUAAAAAUAGUUCUAUCUGGCUUCUGUAAUUUCUUGCAAAUAAGAAACAAUAGGAUCUCCACCAUAUUAUGUACAAACCAUAUAAUGAAGAGUAUGUAACACUUUAGUUAAGUAUAAUUUUAAAAUCAAAGAUACUCUCAACAGUAAUCCCCUGCUAACUUGGCAGAGAGACACCUUUUACCAUGGUGAUUCUCUUUAUUUAGCAAGGGGAGAGUAACUGGCCCUAUCCACCCCCAGCACAGUACCUCCAGUGAAUGUUGCUGGUUUCUAUCUGAUGUUUCUUUUUAGAUUGUGAGCCCUUUGGUGACAGGAAGCCAUCUUCUUUUUAAAAUUUAUUUCUCUAUGUAAACUGCCCUGAGCCAUUUUUGGAAGGGCGGUAUAGAAAUUGAAUUAACAACAACAACAACAACAACAACCAGUAACAGUAAUAACAGUAAUAACCAAUAAUAAUAAUAAUAACCAGUCAAUAACACCUGUCUGACUGUGUAAAUAAAGUAUGGCAACUUGAAGAAAGAAACAGAGGGUUUAAUACUGGCUACACAAGAACAGGCACUAAGAACAAAUGCAAUAAGAGCCAAAGUAGAAAAAUCAACAACAAACAGCAAGUGCCGCCUUUGUAAAGAAGCAGAUGAAACAGUGGACCACCUAAUCAGCUGUGGUAAAAAGAUCACACAGACUGACUACAAACAAAGGCAUGACAAGGUAGCAGGGAUGAUACACUGGAACAGCUGCAAAAAAUACAAGCUACCUGUAUCCAAAAAUUGGUGGGACCAUAAAAUUGAAAAAGUUGAAGAAAAUGAAGAUGUAAAAAUACUAUGGGACUUCUGACUACAAACAGACAAACAUCUUCCACACAGUACACCAGAUAUAACUGUAGUCGAGAAGAAAGAAAAACAAGUCAAAAUAAUCGACAUAGCAAUAUGAUAGCAGAAUAGAAGAAAAAGAAAUAGAUAGCAGAAUAGAAGAAAAAGAAAUAGAAAAAAUCACCAAAUACAAAGAUCUACAAAUUGAAAUUGAAAGGCUGUGGCAGAAAAAGACCAAAAUAAUCCCAGUGGUCAUUGGCGCCCUGGGUGCAGUUCCAAAAGACCUUGAAGAGCACCUCAACACCAUAGGGGCCACAGAAAUCACCAUCAGCCAAUUACAAAAAGCAGCUUUACUGGGAACAGCCUAUAUUCUGCGACGAUAUCUAUAACAACAACAACAACAGUGACAAUAAAAUUCUGGCAUCCCAGGUCCUUGGGAAGGACUCGAUGUCUGGAUAAAACAAACCAGUCAAUAACACCUGUCUGACUGUUUAAACAAGAAAUAAUUAAUAAAUAAUAUUGUCUGUCUCAAAUAAGUCAACAAAUCCACAAUGGUACCCUGGUGACCUCUGUUUAGAUCUUAGUCUUUGUCAGAAGGAGAAUAGUCUUAGAAAAGUCCCAUCAACUUGACUGCACUGAUCUAAAUGCUCCAGAAUCCAAUAAAGUGUACAUGAUUCUAUGGAGGUUUUAGGGAACGGUUAAAAACCUGUUAAAAAUCACUUGCUUGCCCUUUUCUUUUGUGGGGUAGCAACCAUUAUGCUCUACCACCCAACCCACUUUGGUGUCCCUAGGAGCUUACCAUGGGGAACGAUUGAGUGUUUUGUGUUUCCCCAUUGCUCCCUAUGGAUGAUAAUGUUUCAAGUUUGUUUCAUCAAAACAGCCAGUUCAACUGCUGUUUCAACAAAAUGGUUGGGGCCUCUGCAUUUCAUUGCAAGCUCAAAACAAAACACAAUAUCUGCUUCAUGCAUAUCCCUUGUGUGUGUUAUUAGUAGCCUCUCCUUCACUCUAUAAUAAAAAAGAUAAUACUGCUACUGUCUUGACUUCAUCCCAAGACUAAGAUGUUGGAUUGGAUCUAGAUGAGAUAGAAUAGGUAUUACUAUCUGGCUUAUGCGGAGCAGGUGUGGUGGCAACCCUAUAUAGGAACUGAAGUAACCAAGAUAGUGACACUAAUUCUCUUUGUUCAGUUGGGAAUUCAGUGAGGAGUUUGUAAGGGAUAAUUACUUACUCCUCUUGAAAUUGGUUUAUCUUAAUCUUGUCAUACUUGGUUUGCUACAAUUUCUUCCAGAGCAUGCAUUAUUGUUCUUUUGUGGUCUUUAUUGUUCAGUAAAAGCUAAUGUGAUAGCAUCAGGCUCCUGCUUCUGCUCUGUUCAUUUUUGACCUACAUGUAUAACACCUGAGUGUCUGUUAAAUUUGUCUUUAAAAUUGUUCUGUAUUAUGUAGAAGCUUUUUUAAAAAAUCUAUGUCUUUCAAGGCUGUAUGUCUCACAACUGUAGUUUUGUACAAAGAGUAACAGUAAAUAGCAGUAAACUGACUUCAACAGAAAUACAAUAAAGUAGAAGAAACAUUGUAGGCAGGCUCACAGUUAAUAGAAAAUACAUAAUUAGGUAUCUUUAGCCUGUAUAUAAAAUAUGUUAUGUUAUUUAUAUAGUUAUAUAUAGCUAUUUCUAUUAUGUAUAAGGUACCAUCAUGCACUUGGUAUGAUGGCACUAUAUUACAUCGAAAGACAGCUGAAAUGUGACAAUUUACAGCAGAGAGAGACAACAGAGAAAGAGCAGAUAGCUGUCUGAAGGGGCUUACAAUCUCAAUAUCAACACAAGGGAAACAGCAGAGGGAGGGGAGCAGAGUAGGAGAAGAAUAUCGAAGGGAUAACGACCCACUGCAACAAAAAGACAACAACUCUGCAGAAAAUGUCGGCAACUGGAACCACAUGGAUAAUGCAAUUGCUUGGUUAAAACCAUUAAAACAAUAAAUAUUUAAUUAAAAGCCUGGGUGAACAGAUGCGUCUUCAAAGGCUUUUAAAAAGCUGUCAGAGAUGGGGAGACUCUUAUUUCAGUAGGGAGCGCAUUCCAAAGCCUUGGGGCAGCAACAGAAAAGGCCCAUCCCUGAGUAGCCACCAGACGAUCUGGUGGCAACUGCAGAUGGAGCUCUCCUGAUGAUCUCAAUGGGUGGAUAUUUGGUGGAUCUAUUUACCUCCGUGAGUAGCGCAUGGAGUUCUGUGAAGAGCUCACUGCCAGCUGGCGAAGCAGUAGCAGAUGGAGAUUGUAUUGGUGACCCUUUGCUUCAUUGAGUCCUCCUCCUCCACCUCACCUUUGUCACUCUACUUCUCACAGCACACCCAGUUGAAGAAGCAGCAGGAAGUGGAGAUGGUAGUGGUGGUAUUUCCUUUAUCUAGGACAUGGAUACUGUCAUAGUAACGGACUUAAAUGAAUUUCUAAGUUAACAUUUAUUCAUUGUUAUUCCAUAAGUAACACUGAGGGAGUUAUUCAUGAAAGCUGUGCAGACAGGGAAUGAAAACAUAGUUUCCAUAUAGGGAUACAUUUGUGUUGCAUGAAAGAAUAUUGCAUUUUUUAAUGUCAGAAUUCUUCUUUCAUAGCCUUUCUAGGAUUGGUCUUGUGUAUAGCAUCUCCUGCAUACAGCUUUGAUCCAGUCAAUGAUCAAGUGCAAUGGCAGACUGUAUGGAUUGAAUAUUCACUGAGAUGUUUUCACAGAAAGAAACCUGUCGAAUAAAAGAACACAGUGCAUAUUCUUGCUUAUGAAUAGCUGUGGAAGGAGGUUGCUGCAAUUCUUGCAGUGUAAUACUACCUAGACAUGUGUGCAUUCCCUGAGUGCAUGUAGGAUUGUUUUGUACCAGAAAGCAAAAGAUUCUUGAACUUUGUUCAUUCCUUCAUUUUAAUUAGGUCAAGAAUGGUGAAGAAACAAUGCACCUAUUAAGUUGCAGAAUGGUUAUAUUUCUUUCGCCUAAAAUACUACUGGUGAUUAAUAUACUUUGAAAAGGUUCAAGACAAGAAAACCUUGACAAAAACAAUUAUCACUCAAUUCUCAAAUUCUCAAAAUAUCACAGAUAAGGCACUUGCCAGUGACAGUUUCUGUCUUCUGUGAGCAUAAUUAGUUGGAGCAGGUGAAUCGUGUGUGUGUGUGUGUGUGUCUGUGUGUGUGUGAACUCAGAUGCUGAUAGAGAGAUCAAAGAUCAUCAAGUCAGAUCCCUGGAACUGUGCAAGGAGUUAUUUAGUGCUAUCAGCUCCAUCUAUGGUUUAUUGUGCAGGGGGAAAUGUAGAUCAGUUUAAAUGCAAGUGCAUUUGCACUAAUGAUACACAGAGUAGAUAAAAAUCAAUGAGUUAUUAAAAUGAAGAUUAGAUGUUUUAUCUAGAUCAGAUUUGUAAAAUACAUUAUAUUGCAACUGUCUCUAAAAACAAACAGGUUUAAAAUGAAAUAUACCUGUAAUACAAACAAACAUGUUAUACCUUACAGUUGUUUCUUAAAUUGCCUUCUAUCAAACUCACUGAGUUAAAGAUUGCUUUUUUAAAUGUGAAACUAAAAACCAUGGGGGAAAUAUCUGACUUUUGAGGUCAACCGUUAUCGAUAAGUGGCCAUAUAUUGCAUUUAUUGAAGCUGAACUGAAAUGCCACACCCAAUCACACUUUUUGCAUGCUGCAAAGCACAAAAUGGAAUUUUGGUGAUCAGAGAAGAUGCAAAAGGGAACUAAGCCCAGGAAGUCCUCCAACUUUCUAGGGGCUUGCAGAAGGCAUUUCUUUUCCUCCCAAGAAUCCCUAGAGUGAGAGCAGCAAUUUUCAAGACCACCACUGGAAAUUUUGCUACCAACAUAAUCCCCUUUUGCAGCCUCUUCCCAAAUGACCAAAAUGCCCCUCCCCUUGCCUCGUGUUGAGGGGAGGGCAAUUAGUCUCAGCCCCUUCAGCACGAGAUCCCAAGGGGGCUUUCAUUGGGCCUGUUGCUUCAUGGGCGGAGUUUGGUCAGGCUGCUUCCAUGGCUCCCCACCCCAAACUUUCAGUUCGGAGUGGGAUUCUCCCACCCUCCCUUCACUAGGAAUAGAGAGGUCCUAGUGGCUGGUAGUCCUUUUGGGGGCCGAGUAGGAAUUUUUGGCUCCCAACAUAUUGGCAUUGUUGGGUUUUUUCCCCCACCUACUCUGUUCUGUAUUCCUAGUGGAUUGCUUAGAUAGUUAGGUCGCAGCUUGGCAGGGACAAUGCAGGUUGGGGUGGUAAGUGGAUGGGAUGGAACAUGGUGAGCACCCUUGAAUAAUUAAAUGGGUAAUUGACCAAUCGCUCCCUUGUGGUUUGUGUGGCCCAGGGAGGAUGAUUCGCCAUGAAACCUGCUUCGGGACUUCACAAACCCUUGGGCUGUGCAGUCCUGGGUGUGUGAAGACCUAGAAGGAUUCAGGCCCCCCUUUAGGGGAUUGGCUAUGAAGGGGAGGGAGCAGGUUUUCACCUGCUGCCUUCCUGAGCCAGGGUGUGUCACCCAAGCAAGGUGCAGGGGAGGACGGUGGAGUCUGAACCCAGUCAUUGCUUGCCUCCUGCACUGUCUUGGGGAGGGGGGCUUACCCCCAUCCAGUCCGUUCAUUGCUUAUAGUUUUAAAUAAAGUUGUGGCCCUUUUACCC